rnacentral:rRNA from 1 species
UACGGAGGGGGCUAGCGUUGUUCGGAAUUACUGGGCGUAAAGGGCUCGUAGGUGGCCAACUAAGUCAGACGUGAAAUCCCUCAGCUUAACUGGGGAACUGCGUCUGAUACUGGAUGGCUUGAGAUUGGGAGAGGGACGCGGAAUUCCAGGUGUAGCGGUGAAAUGCGUAGAUAUCUGGAGGAACACCGGUGGCGAAGGCGGCGUCCUGGACCAACACUGACACUGAGGAGCGAAAGCCAGGGGAGCAAACGGG